rnacentral:rRNA from 1 species
UGGGGAAUAUUGGACAAUGGGCGCAAGCCUGAUCCAGCCAUGCCGCGUGAGUGAUGAAGGCCCUAGGGUUGUAAAGCUCUUUCAACGGUGAAGAUAAUGACGGUAACCGUAGAAGAAGCCCCGGCUAACUUCGUGCCAGCAGCCGCGGUAAUACGAAGGGGGCUAGCGUUGUUCGGAUUUACUGGGCGUAAAGCGCACGUAGGCGGAUCGUUAAGUGAGGGGUGAAAUCCCAGGGCUCAACCCUGGAACUGCCUUUCAUACUGGCGAUCUGGAGUUCGAGAGAGGUGAGUGGAAUUCCGAGUGUAGAGGUGAAAUUCGUAGAUAUUGGGAAGAACACCAGUGGCGAAGGCGGCUAUCUGGGACCGAUACUGACGCUGAGGCGCGAAAGCGUGGGG